UACAUAGGGGUCAAGCGUUGUCCGGAAUCAUUGGGCUUAAAGAGCGUGUAGGCGGCUCGGUAAGUCCGCUGUGAAAGUCCAGGGCUCAACCCUGGAAUGGCGGUGGAAACUGUCGAGCUAGAGUCCGGAAGAGGCGAGUGGAAUUCCUGGUGUAGCGGUGAAAUGCGCAGAUAUCAGGAGGAACACCAAUAGCGAAGGCAGCUCGCUGGGACGGUACUGACGCUAAGGCGCGAAAGCGUGGGGAGCGAACAGG
rnacentral:rRNA from 1 species